rnacentral:rRNA from 1 species
UGAGGAAUAUUGGUCAAUGGGCGAGAGCCUGAACCAGCCAAGUAGCGUGCAGGACGACGGCCCUAUGGGUUGUAAACUGCUUUUAUAUGGGGAUAAAGUGAGUUACGUGUAGCUUAUUGCAGGUACCAUAUGAAUAAGGACCGGCUAAUUCCGUGCCAGCAGCCGCGGUAAUACGGAAGGUCCAGGCGUUAUCCGGAUUUAUUGGGUUUAAAGGGAGCGUAGGCUGUCCUUUAAGCGUGUUGUGAAAUGUAGGCGCUCAACGCCUGCACUGCAGCGCGAACUGAAGGACUUGAGUGUGCACGACGCUGGCGGAAUUCGUGGUGUAGCGGUGAAA